GUUUUUUUUAAAUCCACAAUUCCCUCAGCUGUAAAGACCCGCAUCCGCUUGCUGCCAGGUUGAGGUAGUAGGUUGUAUAGUUGAGAAUUACACCGUAGGAGAUAACUGUACAACCUUCUAGCUUUCCCUGAGGCAUGCACGACACCGUACAUAGCAGGACAUUUAUCAGCACAAAUUGAAAUGCACAUGAUAGAAAAACAUGUCGGCGAAGCGGACACGAUUGCAAGCAUUUCAAGUCGCUUCCACUGCGCGGUAAUAUUUCACUAUUGUGUUUUGCGAAGUGACGCAACAUUUCGACUUGGAGCAAAUGUGUUGUCAUUUUGCUCUUUGUGGGAUGUCAAACAUUUUGACUCAUGAAACAAAGGGAAGGCUUUUCAUCCAAAUAACGGGCGGGAUCAUGGAGGGGGAAUUGGUGUACAGCCAUUUUGAAGAUCGUUCAGUUCCUGGAAAAUAAUUGACUCAAUAUGUAAUGCUUUUUAAAUUAGCACCAACACAGCUAUCAUUGAUCACAAACAAAAAUAAUAUUUUCAGACCACCCUCAACAAACACACAAACACACACAAUUUUAUUAAGAAAUCAUGUCAAACCACAACAAAACACACGUUCUUCAUUUCCACUUCCAGUCUUUUUCCUUCAUACCUACAAUAGCCUUUAAAGAUUAUAAAACCUCUAUUGUUUUAGCAACACAGAACAUUGGAGACGUAAUAAAGCCAAAGUGGCAUUUGCCAGCUUUACUGCAACAGUCUUUGGUUGGCCUGAGUCAAGUCCAGUUGGUUAGAGGAGCAAAAGACUGACCCCUGUUGGUCAACACCGUCAAGCGUACAGUACAAGCGGUAGCUUGCAUCAAAUGUAAGCCUUUUCAAAAGCUUUUAUCCCUUUCAGGGACAGUGGUUACUACAGUGGACAGCUUAUCAUGUUAUUAGGUUACAGCAUGAAAGGGUUAAAAGUGAAAUCAACUGCUUUCCUUGAAUCGGUGCUUAUGUUGUUUGGUUGGAAAAUAGUAACGGCAUUGGAUGUAAGAACAUUUCUCGAAUCUUUUUUGUGGGGAGUGGGGGGGCUGGUGGCGUUAAAUGCACCUAUUGUGAGACGGCGUGACUGUAAUCAUUUUUGUUACUGCAUGUUUUGGUGUUCUUUUAAAAGUUUUUUUUGCACUGCAAUUUGCCAGCAACUAGUCCAGGGUGUGGCCGGCUUAUUGCCCCAAAUCAGCUGGGUUAGGCUCGUGAGGAUAAGUGAAAGAAAAUGAAUGGGUGGAUGACUUUUCAGAGGAUUUUCAGCAGGUUUGAAGUAUUUAUGAUACAGUUCAAUUCAGUGGUUUUUAACCUGGGUUCGAUCGAACCCGAGGGGUUCGGUGAAUCGGUCUCAGGGGUUCGACGGAGCCUCUGCCAUGGAGGGUUACGACACACCCGACUCAACAUGUAAAUUAGUUAUGACACGCCCACUUGGCCAUCACUGGCUGCAGAUGAUCACAUUGCAUUGCUUGUCCAAUCAGUGCUGCGGGAAAUUUAGUUCGCUCAGUCGUCACCGUGUGACGGUCUGAUAGUACGUCAUACAAUUUUUAAAAACCUAUACUUAUGCCAUGUAAUUUUAUUUACUUUUAUUUGUUUUUCAUAAAUGUGUUUUUUUGUCUUGAAUUUGUAAAAAAAAACAUUUUUGUUUUUCAUUAAUGAAGGUUUAGUGAAUGUGCAUAUGAACUGGUUGGGUUCGGUACCGCUAACAAAGUUAAGAACCACUGGUUCAAUUCCUUCCUUCUUCACCAUUUAUUUGUGUCAGGAACCAUAUUUGGCCAACUAACAAAUACUUACAAAAUAAAUGUCGGUCUAACGACACGUGUUUAAAUUCCACAACCCAAAAAUGUCUUGGAAUGUCUCUCUUAACUGCCUUCAGUAUUCCAACUGAGUCUUGGAUAAGGGGUAAUUUCACUUCUUUUGCAAUACAGUAUCAUUCAUAAUUCAUGCUCAAGUCUCACUAUUUUACUGUGUUACAACAUUACAGUUGAUGAUUUCACGUCUCAUUUUGACAUGGAGGCUUUGACCAGUCAGAAAAGUUGCCUUUGGUCAUCUUGUUCCCAGUUGCCAUAGCCAAUAGUCUGAUGACCGUUGCGUCUGAAACAUCUUUUAGAUCGAUUAAUCGUGGCACAUGUCGAUCACUCACGGCCAACAUUUUGUUGUUGUUGUUGUGGGUUUUUUUGACAGCUUCUCUGGCCCGGGCACCAUUGCAUUCAUUGUACACAGUGUCCAGCCCACAUGCUUGUGUUGUGGUGCAGUAUAUCAGACCUGUUAUGUGCGUGUUUGCAGUCCUGCUGCUGUUUUGUCCAGUGUGUGGGAUGUCGUGACAGAACUGGGUCUCCGCUGAUGUGCUAUUUGGCCUGCCCGACUGAUCCUUUGCCAUCAGCAGCAGAUCACAAAUGCUUAGUCGGGACUCAAAUGAAAUCAGUAAAUCAAUGGAAGCUCUCGUCUUCAGUUACCUGAACGCCGCUGAUAUCGUAAUGUUUUUGUUGCUGCUUUUUUUUCGUGAGUUAACAGAAACUACAACAAGUAGGGAUGAAUCCUUUACAUUUUGGUGCUUUAGUAUAAAGGCAAUCGCUUCUAAAUGUGGAAGAGCUGCAGUGAGAAGCCUUUUCCAAGGUCCGACUAUCAAUAAAAGAGUCGAGGUGAUGUGUUGCCUUACGUUAUCCACUUCAUGGAGACUCUGGAAUUUUUAUUUGAUUUAUUUCUUUAUUUUUUGGGUCCAAUAGCAAAAAUAGAACAUGGCGUUCUAUAUUCGCAUUUCAAUCUGUUGCAACCAAAUGAAAUCAAAUCUUGCUAGUUGAUAGCAGUGCAAAUCAUGUUGGAAGGGGUCUUAGAGAAUAGAUGCGAUGCACUCAACACACACGAAAAAAAAUCUUGCUUUGCAAAUUAGUUCAACACAUAAAUAGUCAAAUUUGAAAUAGGAGAAAUGAAUGUUCUUGACCAAUUUCUGGCAUACGAAGAAGGUCAUCUGGAUCUCCUGUAAUUCAGGUUGUCUUGUGCUCAAACACAGCAAUUUAACAUGUGUACGUACGUGUAAUACCCAGUGUGUGUUUCGGUGUGCGUGUGUGCGUACAGGCAUGUGUGACGCUUUGUCUGCUUGCUGCAGGCUCUUACCAUCAAAGCAACUAAUAUUAGCAUGUCACCCAAGACGCGCUCUAUUUGGACACAAAGCGAGUGAUAAAUGUGGGGGAGCUGUCCUGUCUCACUCUUGCUCCAUCUAUCUCCGUGUGUGUGUGCGUGUGUGUGUUGUGUUGGCAAGCACACGCAAAAAUGUGUCAGCAACCAGCGUGAUUUUAAAACGGGUAACGUCAGUGAUUUUUAGCACGAAAGUGAAGUGGACGUGGCAUGGAUCCAGAUGCCAUUUUCUGGUCUUAAAUGCAGCUGCGCGAAGAAGACAGCGCCCUCCUUGGACCCGAGUCGGAGAGCCUUCGAGAUGAGCUCGGAUGCGGCCACACCCAGUCGGUCAGGCAGCCAAGCAGGCAGGACGGACGAGAAGAAUAGAGAAAGGGCAGUGUGAUGCCAAACACUUGUCUUCCUCACUUUGCGAGUCUCUCUUCGUCUCCCUCCAUGGCUGAUUUGAGGCUACAGUUGGUUGUAUGUCACCACUCUCCCUUAUUGCUCCAACUGUCCCUCCACCAUCAUCUCUCCUCUUUCUCUCCUUCCGCUCUUCAUUUCUCUCUCUCGCUCUCUCUCUCCACACCAAAGCCUGGGGGAGCCAGUGGAGAUUAUAUGUAGCCUCUAUAAGCCAAAGCACAUCAUGUUGCAAUGUUUCUGCGGCUCCAUCUCGCUCAUACGCUGUCGGCCUCUCCUUCGGUCUCUGAAGGGAUAAUGGGAUUGAUGUCGGCCCAAAGGAGAACGGAGGGAAAGAAAUAAAGAAGGACAGAAAUAAAGAAAGAAAGAAAGAAAGAAGGAAAGAAAGAAAGAAUGAAAUGUUUUUUUGCAGAAGAGAGUAGAGGAUUUCUUUCAAGGGUGCAUAUCUGACAAUGGCAAGGUGAAAAAAAAACCAAGCCAAGUUCCACCCCCUUCUCCUCCUCCCUCUUUCCUUACCUCUCUCCUUCACUCAUCUAAUAAUGAAAGAAAGAGUGGGCCUCUCGCUGUAACUGAUUACAGCUGUGGGGCAAAUUAAUGGAUAAUAUUCCUUUCUUACUGUUUUUUUUUCAUGUUUGUCCUUCUGCCAAGAAACGUUGAAGGGAGAAAUUAUGAAAAGGGGCUAACAUUUUCAAGACAAAUAUAGUAUGAGGGCGAAAAGAGGGAGGAGUUGUUUGGAGCCCCCCCCCCCCCCCCCCCCCGAGCCGCCGACCACCAACCCACCCCAGAUCGUCUCUUCUCUCCAUUUCUGAUGAAAAAAAGAGAAGAAAAAAAACCAAUGGCAGAAAAUGGCGAGGAAGAGCGAAGCUUGACAAGCGAUCUGUGCAAUCCUGUUACUUGUGUGUAUUGACGUGUGAUCAUAUUUGACUGUGUCCAACCUGCCUGAGGCCUUCAAGUUCAGACACAAAAUUAGUGUUGGCACCGAUGCAAGGAAGGUAAACGAGUGUUUUUGUGCGUGCGUGUGUGUGUGUGUGUGUGCCCCUCCACCUCCCACCUCCACCGCAUACUGGUAUGCUUGACUGGCACUGUGCACCGGCUACGAGCGCUCAUGCGGUUGCUCGAUACUCGCUCAUUUUGACUCCCCUUUUUUCCCCCCCAACGUCUGCCGCUUGUGUAUCACUUCCACCUAUUUUCCAGAAAGAGGAAUUACAUCCCUUCAUCUCCCGCUCUCUCACUCCCUGCGAGUGAGCGAGAGAGAGGCACCAAAGCUAGAGAGGGAGGGAGAGAGAGUGUACACAUGGUCCAUUCCGGCUCGGUCUGGCGCCCAUGUCAUGCGUCUCGUUUUUGCCUCUGCCAUCACUCCCCUUCGUUUUAUCACGGCUGACUGUGAGCAGCCCGCUCGAAAUGAUGGCUCCGCUUUUGGUGACGUCGUUCUUAUUCAAAGCAAACUUCUCUUGAUACGAGCUGGAAUCUCCUCAGUGCGCUGCUGUAACUUUAAAUCUCAGCUCUCUCUCUUUGCCUGUUUUUCUUCUUCCUCCUCUGAGCAGGCGAGUGAGCUCGGAGACGAAAAAGCAGGAGGCUUCCGCUUCAGAAAAAAAGGUCAGUGACUACCAAACGCACUAGCCGCGUUCCCCACUUCCAUCUCAGCUUCCCAUCUGUUUCCUGUGCUUGAGACCACCGAGGUUGAUGAUGGCACCGUAGGGCACGGUGAAUCUGGCUUGCCUGUGCUCAGCGCUUUGCUCAGGAAGCUUUGAUGGAGCACUGAAAGGUUUCAAGCGCUGGUGGUGAACAUGCCAGGCAGCUGCUCGGGUGUAUUUUGGAGAUUUGUGCGGUCCGAGUUCGGGUUCUGACUCUCGGGGAUCAUUGCGGGUUUCAGUCAUCCACAUCGCCGUGACUUAACAUUGUCCGAUGGCGGGGUUCUAGAAUACGUACGAGAUCUUUGGUAUGCCGGAUAGCGGCAGCAGACUCUUUACCUGAUAGAGGGAAGGGCAUUUUUAAAGUGUUGUAUUGUUCAACUGAAGAGGGGGAGGGACAGAGAGGGAAAGUGUUCGCAGGGAGGAAGGGGUGGGGGGUGCAGUCAGGUCAAUGUUGUGUCUGGCGGGCAGUUGCACUUGCUGUUGUAUAGUAUAUGCUCCCAACGUAUAUACAGGGGCAGCAGAAUUGGCGGUCAAUGGAAAAUGAAGAAACGUACACGCGUCAGCGUAAUCGGCAAAGCCGCAUGGCUUUUACUGGCAAAGAAGGCACGCGUGCGAGAGUCAGCGUCGCAAGGCCCCCUUCGUCCUCAUUUGACUUCACAACAAGUUUCCGUUCGCUACCAAAAAGCGGGCGGAGAGCGGUAGGGUAGGAGGCUUUAGAGGACAUGUGUCUCUCUCCGUCCCUGAGACCCUAACUUGUGACGUUGUGCUUUCAUGUCCACGGGUUAGGCUCUCGGGAUCUGAGAGGGGUCCGCGGUCGCCGCCAUCACCGUCCCCGCCUCUCUCCAAACAAUGCCGCUCGAUCGCGACGGUCAUUUUCCGAACGCUUCCCAGUUUGGUCCUCGUGCAAAAGGCGCAAUCACCGCGGCUUUUGCUCUUAUCAGGCUGCUGCACCUUGCGCCAUCCUGCGAAACCGGAGCCAGAUAGCAAUUUAGUCGGCCAUGCUGGGGUGUGCUCGUGCAGGCCCUUGGAGGUGCUUUGACAUUCUCUCCAUCCUUGGUGGUUUGCUCAGAGUGGGCUGCCAUGUGGACAAGUUGGAAUUGAAACAAGGGUUCUACGACUCCAUUUGUUUGUUUGUUUGUUUUUUAUUUCGUGGCAACUUGAAUUGCUUUCCAUUAACUCGUUUACUGUAGUUUGCCAAAUUAUGCAAAGGUGUCAAAUUUAGUUGCAUGAAAUACAUUGAUUAAUAAUGAAUUAAUUGAUUAAUAAAUCAAUCAGAGGCGUGACGGUGACAUUUACAAAUUGUAAUUCUUUAACUAUGCAGGUGUUUGCUAUUACAAAAGCAGAAUUUGAUGCACCUCAAACAGGCAUUUUACACAAGUUGCUCCGCUGAUCCUGAUGAAGAAAUACUUCACAGCUGGUUUAGCGAGAGGAGCAUGUGAAACCUAACGACUGGGUUGCCAUUGUUUCUGAUUCCCGAUUUGUGCAGCAGGCAGAUGUGCGCGUUCACCUGGACGACUUGAGAGCAGCACAGAGUAAUGUUGAGAGCGUGACCAUGACUGCUCUGUACGUUAUGUGCUUGACCUCAGCCAACCUUCUGCACCAUUCAAGACCACAAAAAUGAACUGACACACGCCCACUAGCAUGGCGCCACCGUUUGCGUAGCAUUUUUUUUUCGUUGACAUUCACGCAGUAUUUUUGUUCGACUCUCGUGUUCGAUUUCUAUUCAGAGCUGAUUGACCACACCGCAGCUAUUUUAUCUCACUGGCAAUAAUAUCAAGACAGUAAUGUGAUUAACUAAAUGACCAUUCAGUUUAGCUUGUCUUUGACUUUUUUUGUUUGGUUGACGUUUUGCAGCUCGAUUUUGCAAUCUGUGUCCAGAUAAUCAUGUCCAGAGAUGAUUUUUAUUUAUUUUUUUGGCACGAGUAUGGAACAUAAGACUACAGCUGGCGCUUGAAAUUCUUUUAACCAUGAAAAUUAAUUUAGGCCUUUUCCAGUAUUGCUUUUCAGUUUAUUUGUCCUCAUCUUUCUCCCUAAGGGGAAAUUUUCUUGGCUAGGAAGGUGUACUCAGGCAAAACAGUAAUAUUUAUAUCCUUAAUCUAAUAAAACCCAAUAGAAAAGCUGCCAGAUUUGAUUUCCAUUCACUCGGUAAGAGAUGCCUUUUCAGAUUGCAUUUAGUCCUGUCGUCCUGCUCCGACGCAUUCCACUGCAAGCGAUAUUCGACACAGCUCCUCUACCGGAGUUGAUGAUUGCAGGUGUACCUAAUGUUUUGGCCCGUGAGUGUAUCCGAUGCUCCAACAUGAACACACUUCAAAGUGGAAUUCCGAGAGAGAUUUCUGUCCUGUUGUUAAUUAACAAAUAUGGAUUUUAACUUCAACCCCCACUGUGCUGAUAAUCUGCCGCUUUAGCAACUCUCUUAUGUAAUGCUUUUGAAAGCCUCAUCUCUCCUUUUCCCACCGCCCCUCUGCUUCCAAAUUGUAUUUUUGUUUUUUUUUCUUCAGCUUUGUGCACAAUUUUUUUUAUAUUUUUUUACCUGAAGCGACUUUAGGGUGUCGCUUGAUAAGCUUGGAUGGGUUUCAGGCUUGCUUCUCCAUUGUUCUGCUCUUCCACACACACACUGUCUGUACGCUGUGUCCCCGUGGCAGAGUCAGGCAGGCAGACUGAGGGAGUAGCGGGCUUAUACCCGCCACAAUAAGCUGCUUUAUCAACCCAACGUUAUCCUUGAUUGAAUUUUUCACAAAAGGGAUUCAAGCGUGUCAUCUUCUCCUGAUUGGAUGGAAAUAAUGCCGUAUGCACCUGGGAAGCUGAUUUUAUGAUUUGAUCGUGCAUUUCAGACGGAUUGACUUCAAACGUGACUAAAACAGUCCGAGGCAGUGCAGAUCAACCUGCUAUGAUAAUAUUCGCAAUUUCCCUUUGUAUCCGGAUUUGUAUUCUGUUUGGGUAUUUUAAUGCGGUCUGCAGCAUUCGCUACCUUUAAACGCUCAUGAAUUAAGACGAGAGCUACUCCUCUGCUGACACCUCACGUGAUUAUAAUUUUAACUCCAAGUUUUUUUCCCCUUAAUGGAGCAUAAUGGAGCACAUUUGGCACAUUCAAUUUUGGUGCUCCACUGCUAUUUAGAUACGAGGCUUCGAUCUGACUUGCAAGCUUAAACUUGAGCUACGAGUGCUGUAUGUGGGCAGCUGACUCAACUUACUCCACAACAAGCAGAUGUUUGCCUGAGGGAAACUGUAAAUAUUCUUCGAAAAAACAAGUUUAAAGCUCUUUAUUGCCACCCGCACUUGAAGGUUACUGCCAAACUAAACAUUAAAGAAAAGAUUCUUAUAAAGCCCUCUCUUUAAAGCAACCACACAUACAGUACUGUUGCCUCCGCUACCUGAUUGCUAACAUUUAAAGGGAAACUCCAUAGACACACAGAGCUGACAAUUUUCAUGUAUAUAGAUAGCAGUUAAAGCAACAUAUAUCCAAACACAAACAUUCCUGACACACACAUGGGCAUACCACAUAACAAUCCUCACAUGGAUAUAUUCUUAAUCCGUUGCAAAGAACAACUAAUAUUAGUGCUGCACUGAUGGUCUGAAAGGAGUUGAGACAUCUCAGUGAACAGUAUACGUUGGUACCUCGACUUACAAAAUAAAUUCUGUAAGAAAUUUGUUAACUAGAAAAUUUUGUACGCAGAGACCCCAUUUCAAUGUAAAUGCCCUAAUCCGUUCCGAGCACCCCCAAAAUUCAGACAUGAAUGUUUUCUGAGCAAAUUUUGUAACAAAUGCACGUUACAAUUGGAUUAUUGCACAAUAUAUGAGAGUUGUGCGCAAUGUAAAAAACAAAGAAUAAAGCAUAAAAAUGAUGGUCAUUUAACUUUUAACUGCGUCCUCACCGUUGUUUGCACUCUUUAGUUCAUGUUCUCUCUCUCAGAACUGGUUUUUGCCUGGCAUUUUGUCACAAACCGAUCCAAGAUUGUUUGCUUUUAUCGGCUUUUAACAAUCCUUUGAAAAUGUCGAAGGCAGACAUCAGCAUGGUGAGGAAUUGCCUAACUGAUGAACAAUUUUUCUGGGUGAUUCACAUUUACUUAAAACUAUCGGAACGCCUCUUGGCCCGAGGGGUGAAUGAUGAGGACGUUGCAUAGACACACAUUUAUCUCACAUAUACAUACGGUAGAGGUCCUUCUUAGCCAGGAGGAUGCUUGGUAGUAGCCAACGGCACAGCAGCUAGCUACAACUAUGUUGCAUUCAGGAAACUCCGAGCUGCGAGUCGCACCCCAUACUUGAUGUUUACCUUUCAUAACUUGACAUUUCUUUUAUAACUAGAGGCAAUAUUUUCGUGUUGAGCCGCUUCGUAACUUGAAAAUUUCGUAUGAAGAGACAUUCGUAAAUGUAAUGUAUCCAUUGUAUCUGUCUAUUUGUCUUAUACUGCCCCAACGUGGCCAAUGUGUGUAAACUAAAACCAGUUGAGCGAGUGAAUGAGAAUAUUCUAUGAAAUUAAGUCAUCACUGCAUGCUUUUGCAAAUGUUCUAUUAUACAGUGAUAAUGUAGAAAUAUAUUUAUUUUUUGGGGGGGUGGCCGCGGGGGGCAGGUGGCCUUCUCAUUCACUUCAAUAAGAAAAGAUAAUAUGCGAUGAUUUUUGGGGGGUUAUGGGCGUGGUCAUGGAAUGAAUGAAACCUAUAUCUCAUGGCGACAAUCAAUUUCAUUUGUAGCUUUUCGAUGCUGACAAGUUUAUUAGUAGGUUGAGUGGGGAAAAGGGAUUGGUUCUACUGCCUGGUAGGGCCUUCUUAGGAAUGAGAUGAUGGUUCUUUAAUAAAAAUAAUAAUAAUUAUAAUGAUAGUUAUAUUCCAAUAAUUUGACUUUUUAAAAUAUAUUUCGCUGUUUUAUAUUUUUAGGGACUCGGGGAUGGUGAGGUUGGUUCCUUGCACUACAUAGGGCUGGAAACAAUGUGCAUCAUUGUCUCACGAGGAUGUUAUUUUUCGCUGGAUUCAUGCCAUUAUUAUGGCUGGACAUAUACAUGAUCACAUAAUUAUCACUGUUUCAACGCAAGACAGUUACUUAGCCUGAUAUUAGUCCUUUUAGAACGGAUCUUUGUUCAAACGACACGUUAGAAGGUACCCGUCCAUGACCAGCAGGUGUACGAGUGGAGGCGAUGAGUUAGUCACUGCUAUUCAGUGAAAUGAUUAUGUUGGAUUGCACUUGAACUUGAAUAGGGGAAGCGACACGUGGAGUGCGGCUUUUAUGAAUGUCGAUAUCGCAAUAUGUGUGCGUGGUACUAGUAAUAUGUGUGCGCUAUUGCUCUUUGUGUCAACUUUACGGUCACCAUGCUGCAGUUUCUUUUCUUUUUUUUUUAGCCACACCCUUUGUACUUAGUGCGUCGUCUCUUCCGCAGACAAGAAGGAAAGGCGCUCUGUCAUGAAUAAGUAGCUCGCAUUGUUGGACUUUUUGACUUGGCUUUAAAGGGUAGCGGUGCCCCCUUUGUUUGUGUGAAUCGAAGAGGUCUCCUGUUCACCGUCCCUUACAUGCGCAUUGGCUGGAGCAGCAAGAUGGCGUUUGGAUGCCAAUGUUUGCUUAUGGAAAACUAGUAUUAAGGGUUUCAUUGUCUACUGUUGUUGUUGUUUUUUUUUUUUCAUAUUCAAGAUAAGCAUUUAAAUAAAUCAAACCUACCAUGCAACAGGAUUGCGGGGUUAGCCUGAAAUUUUAUGAUGGAAUUCGCUGCUACAGUAUGAAGUUUGUUCUUGUGUUUAUAUAGGGCAAUAAAAAAGUAGUGAAAAUGGAUCAUGAGCGACUAGAUCGUGCUAGCAGAUUAUUCGGGCUGCGCUCGCCUCAUUUGUUCAAGCGUAGAGAGAUUACAACAACAAAAUAGACUCACACAUGUGAAUGUCCCUCGGCUCCUGAGCAGUUGCCGAGGGUCCGUGGUGUUGCCCUUCACAUGGUGUUGGGUUUAAUUUAAUCAUCGUGUCGGAAAAUUGCUGUGUUCACAGAAACAUCGGUCAAAAGGCGAAAAGAAAUUGCGGAUGAUUAAUAGCGUUUGGGCUGGGUGAGUACGGAGAUGUCAUCAGCCUUGGCUGAGUCUCUCUCCACAAAGACAUUAUAUGAACGGUGUUUCAUGUGGCUUCUUUUAUUGUAACUGCUCUGGCCUUUAUUUGAAGGACACAUCAGCGGAGUAUUUGAAAAUGAUGAUUGGAAGCAAUAAUGUCGUGUCUGAUUCGAGGCAUUUUGAAAAACAAAAAGCAACUGAUUGUUUUCCUUGUGGUCAUUUCAUUUUCAUCUCCCUUCAAGUAUUUUGCCGUAAAAUGUGAGUUUUGAAAAUAUUGAUCAUCCGACCACUCAUGUAUUGUGAGUGUGUCUUUAUGGCACUUUGCUGUCACAUUUAAGCAAGAUUCAAGUAUUGCAAGUCCACCACUUUUAAAGUGCCCCCUGGUUUUGGGUUUCAUGUAUGUUUCCUAUCACCUCCAGGUGGGGACGUCAUGCUGGACUCCCUCUGUUUCUGCAUCAAAUGAAACAGUUGCUGUUUUUUGUUUUUGUUUUUUCCAGGAGCAAAAUAAACAUUUAUAGCAAGUUACCUAAUUGAAGAAAGAUGACACAAACUACUGUUAUUCGACGUACUUGGCGUCAGAGACAAUGAUAUAUGUUUUAACAGCCGUCACUUUAUGGAGUGGAUGUCUAUUUUAAUGUUGUUAUUUUGAAGCAAGCCCAUCAUAUCUUUCAUGUCUGCAGAUGAACCCUUUCAGAGACAUCGGUUACUACAGUGGAUAAUUUAUCGUGUUAUCAGGUUACAUGGUGCAUGAGAGGGUUAAUGCUCUUCUUGUCAAACGAUAGUCAUGUGUUGGUAAAGUUCCAGAUUGUUUUUGGCAACAGUACACACAGGAGAAUACACUGACUAUAAUUAUGGAAAAGUUAAAAAACAAAACACUAUAAUUAAAUUAAAUUAUUGAAAACCUGGGCUCACCCCCACUCACUCAAUUUUUUUCAGAUUUAUAUUUAUUUAAAUACUUUUGUCUUCUAGUUUCUCCCUUUCACAAUUUUGCUGCUGUAAAUUGGGAAUUUCUCCAUUGAGAGACAAAUAAAGGUUUUCUUAUCUUAGUGAUGAAUAUUAAUGGUGGAUAAAGAGUGUUGUGUGGUAUAGAUAAAUGAAACCAAGGUGAAUAAUAUUUCAGAACUUUUCCACCAUUGAUGGAAUCUAUUACCAUGACAACUCGAUUGAAAAUGAAAAAAAAAAAACUUUUUGAAAAGGCAAGUAAAAAUGAACAACUGAGAUAAUACAGUUGAACAUGUUUCAUAUCCUAGGAUAAAUAUUAACGUCAAAAGGAUCUACUUUACUUUUACGGCACCAUAAAUUUUUUUCCAAAAUGUGUUUGGGACAAAUUGUUACGAUCCAAUGAAACCGAGGUUGAACUUUUUGACUAUCAUUCCAAAAAGUAUAUUUGGUGCAAAUAACACUGCUCACCACCAAAAGAAUGUUUUGACCGACAGUGACGCAUGAUGGUCUUUCGUAUUCGACAAAGUUGAAGGAAUUAUGAACAGCUCCAAAUACCAAGAAGUGGUAGCACAAAACCAUCAGGCUCGUGCCCGAUAGCAAUGAACAAUUGUCAGGAAAAGCCUACUAGAACAUCCGAACUUAUAUGGAGUUAAUCAGGGACACUUAAAUGGUGGACGGUGUGUCCCGAUUUUGAACACAACCACAUACCAGUUUUUAAACAGUGUUUACACUGGUGAACUUAUUUUUACUUCCGAUCCACGUCAAAAGUUACAGUUGUCAUGGUGUUACACCUACGUUUAUAGGAAGUAAAAUAAACAUUUGAGUUUUUAGUUUUUCUUGAGAGGUUUUUGCAAAUGUGACCCAAUUAGAUCAAAACAAACUAGGCUGCAACAUUAGCAAGGAGUUGGCCAAGUGAUUUUUCUGAUGGGAGCCUGAACAUGUUAAAAUGACCUCUGCAAAUCAUCACAAAUGUAAAAAAACAGAAUCAGAAUGCGUCUCUUAAUUUGGUUGUUAACUUCCCUUUAAUUUGGCAUGUUUUCCAUUUGAGUUUAGUGGUCAAAUCAAAUUCUGCCUGUUUAUCACAGAAAACGGUCAAGGUGAAUUCAGGUAUUUCUCAACCCCACCCCCCACCCCCUUCCCCACACACUGAUGUGCCAUUUGAAUUAUUUAUAGAAUCUCUGGAUCUAUUUAUACACCCUUUGAGUGUCUAGCAGCUCUGACAAGAUUGCGUUUUAAACUUCAAUUCAACUCUUUGUUAAAGCAUGCUUCAUUGGCUCCAGAGUUGUCACGGGGAACUUUUUUGAUAAGAGAGGGGUUAUUAAUGUCACUAAAUAUAGCAACAAAAAUCACUAAACUGCCAACACUAAGACAAUAUUCCACACAAUCAUUUGAUUGAGUUCCUCUUUUAUUUGAUCAGGGCUCUCAUUGCUUCCCUUGAGCAGACCGACUUGAGUAGUGGAUGUGCAAAAUUGAAGCUAGCGGCCUAACAAACUUUUUGGUUUUAUUUUCAGGUCAAAAUACAAACCUCGAUGCUCUUGUGAUGCUUAGCAAAUGUAUGGUACAAACGGUCCUGUCUCCACAUUUACAACCUAAACACAGAGCACACGGAAUGCUGCUAACUAGAUAUUCCUGAUCCUAAUUUUCGGUUAAAUUAAGACAGGAGUCCUUGUUGUUGAGAGAUGUUGCGAAUGAAUGUCUUUUUCUGCUGUCCAUUUAUUCUCAACCCAUUUCUCUCCAAUGCCUCACUUUGACCUACCUCGUCUGCACUUCUUCUCAACAACAACAUUAAAUAGCCGAUUGAGUGGUUCCAUAUUUGCAACAUUUUAAAGUGCACUUAAAAAAUAAAAUGUCCAUUAUGUGAAAGAAAUGUUUAUGUGAUUACUGUCAUUUGCCUCCAAAACGUUUUAAAUGUGGUGGGAAAUAUUUUCCCUAGUUUUUAACAAAAAUUAUGUUCAUGUUCAUUUUUUGUCUCUUGCUGUCGCCAUCCAUCCAUCGCCUGCGUGCAACGCCAGUAAAACCAUGUUGAGAUUUGGCACACACACGCACACACACAUACACGCAAGAGCUCGGCAGGCAAAUGUAGGCCAAAAGCCAUCUGAGGAUGGGGCUCAGUGAAAGAGGGAGCAAGACAGGCGACAAGAAGACUAUUCGAGAAUGACAUUCAUCUGGGAGAUGGUAGAGGCAGUUAAGACUUUUAUACUUGUACUAAUAUGAUACACUAUAUAAUCGUAACGCUAUUUGGUACAGGAUCAAGCCCCAGAAAGGAUGAACUGGAAAAGAAGCAAAUACAAAAAUUGGGGGGAGCAGUUUUUAUUAGGGUCAGCUUGUCCAUCGAUUUGUUGAACAUGCUACUUGAGGUUCCAUUAGGGUCCAGGAGGUUGCAUUGACACCACAAUGACUGAGAUGGAUAGAAAAAUUACCUUUCUGUCUUUUGUCCACAUUAUCACACGUUUUUGCUCCUGAUCUCUUAGGCCAGUGGCAUGCUUAUGACUGGUGAGGCACUGACUCCUCUGGCAUUAGAAAUAAAAAUAUCAACCCAAUAUAUAAGAUUAGACUAUACUUUACUUUAAAAAUGCAAAUGAUUAGAUAUUUUAUUCAGAUUUGUUCUAUUGUAUUCAGUGUUUAUUAACGUUUGUUUGGUUUUUUUACCUCUUUUAAUACACUUCUAAAGGGGCACCAUUAGUUGCACGAAGCACAUCAAGACGGUCCUGGAUUUCUUGCCAUGUUCGCUGUAGCAUAGCCUCAUCAAUUGUGGCAAUGGCAUCAGUAAUUCUUUGCUUUAGGUCAGCAACGUCCCUUAUCUUUUUUCGACACACGAUAUCUUUAACAUAGCCCCAUAGAAAGAAAAAGAAGUCCAGGGGAGUGAUAUCUUGUGAACGUGGCGGACAAGGAAUUGGCCCAUCCCUCCCAAUCCACCGGUCUGGAAAUGUUUGAUUGAGGAACCCACGAACAUGCAGCCCCCAAGGUAGUGUCGGUGCACUACCUUGCUAAAAAAUGAUAGUUGGUUGAAGGUCAGUCAGUUGUGGUGCCACAUAUUCAGUUCAAAGGUCAAGGUCAACAUUUGCAGAAAUUAAUGUCUCAUUGAAGAAAAAUUUACCAAUUAUCCGAUUGCACAUGAUCCUACACCACACAUUCACCUUUGGGCAGUGUGAUUAAAAAAACUUUAACACCGAAUACAAUAGAAAAAAAAAUCUGAAUAAAAUAUCUAAACAAUUGCAUUUUUUAAUACAUUUUUGAAAUAGUAAAGAGACUUUAUGGACACCCUGUAUUUUAAAUUUGCCCUUUACUGACACCUACCUCAUCCAUCCAUCCCUCUUGACGAGGGUCACGGGUGUGCUGGAGCCUAAGCAUCAUCGGGCAGUACGCGAGUUAUCUCCAUACAAGUGAUUGGAAGAGGACGAGCCGAGCUCUGAGACAGUGCUACCAAAUCGCUAUGGAAAGAGCGGCACGCUUCUUCGACGCAUUGCACCAGUGGACUGCACUGCCAUCUGUCGUCAACGGGAAGGUGUGGGAGUGGCCAGAGAGGCACAAGGGGUGAUCAUGGCCCCCACGUAGCUCCGUCCCCGAUAAGGAGGUUGCCGAAUUCCAUCCUGAUGAUCUUUUUUGGUUUUUCUUUUGUUUGAAUUGCCAUAACACAUCUGAACUAUGCCAUUUGGGAGCAAAAAUGUAAAUUGUCUGUGUUGAACCACAAAGUGUAAAUCCAGCCUAAGACUGAAAGUAAUGCAGUUUGUUUAAAAGUGAAAAUGUAAACUUUGAUAUCAGCUAUGCCUUACGGUUCUCAUGUAGAGUGAGAAGUAGCGUUUAUUGUUAUUAGUCGUCUGAGUUUUGACCUCACUGGCUCCUUCCUUCCUUAAGUUUACACAGCGGUUUGCAUAUAAUAGCCUCUAGUUGCCAUAGAAACAAGAUGUUAGUACUGUUUUCCUUCUCUCUGCAGGAAAAAGACAGUUGAAUGUGAACUCUGCGCCCUCGUUUCAUUUCAUCUCUCCUCACAGUCACCUCCAGAUCCUCUUUUCCUCAUCGCCUGACACCCUGUUUUCAUUUUUCCUUUUCUUAUACCCUCGGCCGCCUUACUUCCCCGAGUUUAAUCCGCGCUCGCUGAGCUGCUGAUUGCUGCGCAUGCACGGCAAGGGGUCACUAUGAGUUUAUGCUUGUAUUUACAGUGCUUGUUGCUGUCAGAUCUGGAAAAUGUGGUUUGGUCGAAACACAAUUAUCGAAUGACAACUGAGGCCCGCUUCCUUCACACCCUGCUCACGUACCAUCAGAAGUGCCUCGAUUCACAUGUCCAUGCUAUUAUUAUAUGGUCGGCACCGCCAUCCACGACGGCCUGAGAGCCUUCUUGUCACUAAAGUUUUAGGAGAAACUUUGAUGGUUCUCUUCAGCAGCACAUAAUGUAUCAUCAAAGCUGGGAUUAAACAUUUUUUUUUCUUCUUCUGUCUUUUAUUCAUGGUCUAGGCUGUCGGAAGAGUUGAGCUGGAAGAUUUAAGCUUAUUAGCUCAAAGAACAGGGGAAGGGAGUUUUGAACUGAUGUAUGGCAAACUUCAAAGAUGGCUUAAUCGCUGUACACAUGCCCUAUACAGGCUAUUUAUACUGAGAAGAAAUGUUUCUUCCAAAAGACUUCCUCUUGCCACCCUAAAGCAGCCCCGGUUAUUAUUGUUGCGAGUAUGUCUAGAGAGACGAGACUUGCCCGCUAAUGUUAAUUUGACAACAGGACCUUCCUUCGUCACAAUCUUUGCCACAUGCUGUCAAUAUCAAUUAGAUCUGCUUUUAUUCAGAUUUUUUGGUCACACAAAGGUCGCUCGUAUAAUAUGGCUCCGAUAUCUUAACGUGUUAACUGUGAAAAGGGAUAUUGGUGACUUGCCCCUUUAUUGCUUUUGAUUAAUUGAUUGUCCCCAAAUGGAAAAAAAAGGUUGAAAAAAACCUCACAAAAACUUUACAGGUUUUGCAAUGUCCUGAUGCAUCAAGCGUAUUUUAUAUAUAUAUAUAUAUAUAUAUAUAUAUAUAUAUAUAUAUAUAUAUAUAUAUAUAUAUAUAUAUGCAUACACACACACACACACAGGGUCAGGCAAAAUGAUCUGAUAUAUUUGUAGGUUAAAUAAAAGGCAAAGAAAGUAAAGAAACCAAAAAAGUGUUUUUAUUUUCAAAAAGUACAUGUAAUGCCAUUCUGUUUCACUAUGUUUUAAAAAUAGUUACUAACCCAUAACAAGAUCGGGUUUCGAGCUGGUACGGGAUCAUGUCUACCAAUAUUGAAGUGCAAACAGAACGCUCAUUGUGUUGCAGUUACAGAUUUGUUUGUUUUGAUAAACGUUUCCGCAAUGAAAGCGCCGCCAAUCCAAUUCAUGGCAGCAACUGAAAAAGAAACAA